GAAUCCAAGCUAAUCGGUCUACAAAUGCUUGACAUAAAACAAACACUCCCAAACUUUUAAGUAAGAGAAUAUCGGCUUACGCCUAGUCCAUAUCUCUUAUGGAGUUUUUACAACUGAUUAAUUUAGAUCUAGUUCAGAACAUGAUAAAUAGUCUUAAGAGUAUAACUUUAAAAGGAGACUGACAGACUUGUAAACUCCAUCAU
rnacentral:lncRNA from 1 species